UACGAAGGGGGCUAGCGUUGCUCGGAAUCACUGGGCGUAAAGCGCACGUAGGCGGCUUUUUAAGUCAGGGGUGAAAUCCUGGAGCUCAACUCCAGAACUGCCUUUGAUACUGAGAAGCUUGAGUCCGGGAGAGGUGAGUGGAACUGCGAGUGUAGAGGUGAAAUUCGUAGAUAUUCGCAAGAACACCAGGGGCGAAGGCGGCUCACUGGCCCGGUACUGACGCUGAGGUGCGAAAGCGUGGGGAGCAAACAGG
rnacentral:rRNA from 1 species